rnacentral:rRNA from 1 species
AUUGAACGCUGGCGGCAUGCCUUACACAUGCAAGUCGAACGGCAGCACGGGAGCAAUCCUGGUGGCGAGUGGCGAACGGGUGAGUAAAGUAUCGGAACGUACCUUUCAGUGGGGGAUAACGUAGCGAAAGUUACGCUAAUACCGCAUAUUCUGUGAGCAGGAAAGCAGGGGAUCGCAAGACCUUGCGCUGAUUGAGCGGCCGAUAUCAGAUUAGCUAGUUGGUGGGGUAAAGGCCUACCAAGGCGACGAUCUGUAGCGGGUCUGAGAGGAUGAUCCGCCACACUGGAACUGAGACACGGUCCAGACUCCUACGGGAGGCAGCAGUGGGGAAUUUUGGACAAAUGGGGGGCAACCCUGAUCCAGCCAUGCCGCGUGAGUGAAGAA